ACGAACGCUGGCGGCAGGCCUAACACAUGCAAGUCGAGCGAGGACUUCGGUUCUAGCGGCGGACGGGUGAGUAACGCGUGGGAAUGUGCCCUUCUCUACGGAAUAGCCCUGGGAAACUGGGAGUAAUACCGUAUACGCCCUUUUGGGGAAAGAUUUAUCGGAGAAGGAUCAGCCCGCGUUGGAUUAGGUAGUUGGUGGGGUAAUGGCCUACCAAGCCGACGAUCCAUAGCUGGUUUGAGAGGAUGAUCAGCCACACUGGGACUGAGACACGGCCCAGACUCCUACGGGAGGCAGCAGUGGGGAAUCUUAGACAAUGGGGGCAACCCUGAUCGAGCCAUGCCGCGUGAGUGAUGAAGGCCUUAGGGUUGUAAAGCUCUUUCAGCUGGGAAGAUAAUGACGGUACCAGCAGAAGAAGCCCCGGCUAACUCCGUG
rnacentral:rRNA from 1 species